GGACCCGCACAAGCAGCGGAGCAUGUGGUUUAAUUCGACGCAACGCGAAAAACCUUACCAAGACUUGACAUCGUACGCCAACUGUGGAAACACAGCGUUCCCUUCGGGGACGUGCAGACAGGUGGUGCAUGGUUGUCGUCAGCUCGUGUCGUGAGAUGUUGGGUUAAGUCCCGCAACGAGCGCAACCCUUGUGAACAGUUGCCAAUAUUAAGUUAGGAACUCUGUUCAGACUGCCGUGGUUAACACGGAGGAAGGUGGGGAUGACGUCAAAUCAUCAUGCCCCUUACGUCUUGGGCUACACACGUGCUACAAUGGCUACUACAAAGAGCUGCAAGCCGGCAACGGCAAGCGAAUCUCAAAAAAGUAGUCUCAGUUCGGAUUGUGGGCUGAAACUCGCCCACAUGAAGUCGGAGUUGCUAGUAAUCCCAAAUCAGCAUGUUG
rnacentral:rRNA from 1 species